GCAUUAAUGGGGUAGUGGUAACCUGGGUCGUUGCCAUGUCGCUGGUGGCUGCUAAGCUCGACCCGCCGGGGGUUCGAUUCCCUCUUAAUGCA